rnacentral:tRNA from 1 species
GAGCCAAUGGCUCAAUGAUGGAGCGUUCGACUCAAUUUCCAAAGUUCUGGGGUUCAAAUCCCAGGUGUCCCA